GGCGAUGUGGUGAUGGUGCGAUGAUGUUUGUAGAUUUCAGCAGGCAGGGCGGGAUUCAAUUUUGUGGUUAAUUACACCAAUCCAACACGGCCAACAGCCAGAAGAAACGGACGAUACGCGGGAGUAGAAGAGAAUUAGGUUCGUGAUUAGGCGUUAUAGAUUGUGGCAGCUUGAAAGUGACAGUUGUGUAUGUCGCACGUUUGUGAAAUCGUUCGAUUGUGAGUGAACAAGCAAAAGCACCCCCCCCCCCCCGCAAGAGGAGGGGUGAACCAGCAAGUUUUCAAUCCUCACCACCACCACCCUUCAUUACCUGGUGCUGUAUCACACAGUCCCGCAAGGCCCGCUGCAGAUAGAUGAUGCUCUGCAACAGCUCCACCGGCAUGGCAAACUCUUUCAUCCACUCCCAUUGUUCCUGCAUUUCGGGCUUUGGCUUGGGGGGGGGGACACUGGUCUGAGAAGGUUCUUUUCAGCCCCCCCAGAACCGAAGACACACCAACCGUUGCGACGAGCGACAACAAAACACUCCCGGGUCCGCCGUGCAACCGCGAAAGGGGAGGAAAUUGCCGGAAACUAGGGCGAGUGGCACGGAUUACGAACGAGCGGAUGCACUGCUUGUUGGCCUUUCGCGGUUUUUCUCUGUGUUUCGAACUGUCAAAUGUUUUACGCUGAAUCGCUCGCCAUUGACAGCCGAGAGACCACGCGAGGAAGAAGAACGCGAAAACAAUCUGGCCCCGUGUGCCGUUUGAAUUUCAGCGGAUGGAAAAAAGAUGAUUUUUUGGUGGAGGUUUGAAAGCGGAUGAGAAGAAUUUGCCUGGGAAUAGAAGGAAAUUAUAGAAAAUCAGGGCAUCGUAAAGCCCUUUGUAAUGAGCUAACCAACCGUAGCAGAAGCGUUAAUAUGGCAUAACGGAUCAAUGUGGGAAGCGCAUUAUAUCCGAUCACGACCAUGCAAGGCUCGUCCAUCCUUUUGAACUGCCAGAAUGACCACUCCAGCAAAUAAGUACACAAGCGUUUUCUUCUUUGUUGUCUUUUAUCAUUUAUUUCGUUACGAUAAUGCCCACGAAAGCAAAGUUAACGUUUCGGAAGCGGAGUUUCGUAUCCCUGCGGCUUUACAUACUAUGAACACUUAAUUACCAGCUUCAGCCUUAGCUAAAGCUGACCUUGACCCGUACCCGGCAGUGAUGCGACUAUCGACUGCGAACAAAGAACAAAAUUACAAUUAACUAAAUUCCUUCUAAUGAUGAAACGGGCAGCACGUUAAGAAAUCGGCUACCACCUUGAAAGGACGUAGGAUAAAUGUAAUAAAUAACACAAGAAA